CGUGGCUAACCUGCCCUUGGGACGGGGACACCCCCGGGAAACUGGGGCUAAUCCCCGAUAGGUGAAGAUUCCUGGAAUGGGUUUUUGCCGAAAAGACGUUUAGGGCAUGCUUCUAGGCGUUGCCCAAGGAUGGGGCCGCGGCCGAUCAGGUUGUUGGUGAGGUAAUGGCUCACCAAGCCUUUAACCGGUUCGGGCCGUGGGAGCGGUAGCCCGGAGAUGGGCACUGAGACAAGGGCCCAGGCCCUACGGGGCGCAGCAGUCGCGAAAACUUCGCAAUAAGCGAAAGCUUGACGGGGCCAUCCCGAGUGCCAUCUGCUGAGGAUGGCUUUUACCCAGUGUAGAUAGCUGGGGGAAUAAGGAGAGGGCAAGUCUGGUGUCAGCCGCCGCGGUAAUACCAGCUCUCCGAGUUGUGGGGACGUUUAUUGAGCCUAAAGCAUCCGUAGCCGGCUGGGCAAGUCCUCUGUUAAAUCCAGCGACAAAUCGUUGGCCUGCGGGGGAUACUGCUCGGCUAGGGGGCGGGAGAGGCCGUCGGUAUUCUUGGGGUAGGGGUGAAAUCCUAUAAUCCCAGGAGGACCACCAGUGGCGAAGGCUGUCGGCUAGAACGCGCCCGACGGUGAGGGAUGAAAGCUGGGGGAGCGAACCGGAUUAGAUACCCGGGUAGUCCCAGCUGU
rnacentral:rRNA from 1 species